rnacentral:sRNA from 1 species
CCCUGAGGAGCCGUUAUAUUCUCCUCGCCCAAUCCCGUUCCUUUUUGCGCUAUCCCAUCCCGCUCUUGACUUUGUCCUUGGGAUCGCGGUAUCAGUAUAUACGCUAAACCCUCCUUAACUGCCAUAUACUCCUUUCCCUCAUGACGCACAAUCUGUCCCGCGCUCAACUCCGUGCCCGAUUCCACGGCUGCAGGCAGAAAACCGGAGAUUUCCCCAGCCGUCUGAGUCAUUGCAGCUUUUGUUGAGCUAGUGCUCGUCCUCGAAAACACACGCUUCUCUGGAAAUACGGUCAAUGGCAAUCGGAGACAGAUCCGGAGCUUUCUACCCCUUUGGGACAAUGGAAGCGCGGUAGAUAAGCUCUUAAUGUUAGUAGUGAGCUGUGUGGUACGGAGGAGCGGCGGAAGUCGAGCACCAAGGGCUGCAGAUUUUGGAGGCGCUAAAGCUGUCGCCCAACAUAGCAAAAAUGCAGGGUUUACGCAUGUGCAUGUGCGCGCGCUUCUCAAGGAGAGAAUUGGGUACAUCGACGUUCCAUAGCAGCUUGGAAGCGCACAGUUGUGGAUCUUUCUCUGCUACCUGCG